GUAAUUGCAUUAAAAAUUUCUUCUCAAUGAAAUCCUAGGAACAGUUGAUUUGAAUGUGUCAAGUUGACUUUUAUUUUCGAGGGAAUCGUUUUUGAAAGCGGAAAAAUACGCAAGGAUAACUGAUUAAUUUAUUUCCCGGGAGGAUUAAAGCUGGUAUCAAUAUCUCACGACAUAAUCUAGAGAUUCUAUUUGCAAACCAAAUAUAACUCUGUAAUUAACACUCACUCCGGCAUUUUCAAGCAAGGCAUGGCUUUACCCAACAGAUGCAAAGGAGAAACUACGACCCUGGUUGAAGCGAAAAGCCUAAAUCUAGUUGUCAUCGAGGUCAUUUAACGGGAGGCACAGGAAACGAGCUGGGCUGGGCGGGUUUCGACAGUGUCGGACCAUAGAAAGGGGUAUUAUAUAAGUCGGGUUAAAGAUCCAGCUUGGUAAAAGGAACGGACAAUACUUUCAACACGAACAAAAACCACUAAGCCACUCUUAUUAUGACAACAGUAUAAUUCCACUCAAGAGAAGACUACGAUAUUCUCUUGAGCACAAAAAUCAAACGUCAUUUCUAGUUUAUAUUAUUUUUUCUUCGAAAUUUUUAUUAACACACACCUUUUGACCUAAAAAAAUAAAACAUUUAAUUCUUUUUAAACAGUUUGUAAAUACAAUUAAUGCAUAAUUAUAUAAUUUAUAAUUAAAUCAAAAAUUAGUGGGUCCAGUAAAAGCAUACAAUAUAUAAUUUUGUUUUACAUUGUUGUUGUUGUUUGCUUGCUUGUUUGCUACAUACAAGUAUAAAAAUGUAUUUUUUAUUGUUGUUAAAUAAAAACUCUACACAAGUAGCGCCUUCUUCUGUUUACUAUUUAUUUUGUUUUUGGAAUUUAAAUUAUUGCAAAUUUUAAGUUUUUACUUCUUCUUGACUUCAUAGACCGAUUGGAUGGCUUUCAGUAGCCAGCCAACUUCCUCGACGGUCUUGAUUUGAUAAUUGG